CAAGAGAACCAGGCUGAAGCCAUAUCACCUUUCGCAUGCUAGCCUUGGGAGUAAAAUCAUGUCCUUCUCAUUGUACUCCAUUAAUCAGGGCAGUCGCAAAGAUCCAGCCAGACUGAAUGAGAGGGGACAGACAUCAUCAUUCCACGGCUGGUACGUUAAGCUUACAUUGUAAGAAAAGCAUGUGGGAUGUGCAGUGUUAUUACUUGCCACCCAACUCACCCUCGAUUAGUAAUAAAGUGUCUAUAUGGGACACGUGGAAGCAAGGGGGAGAGAAAUAAGAGUCCUAAGUUUCUCCCAGAUACUGACUGAUACUGGGAAACGUGCCUAAAACCCACUGCUGGAAUCCUUCUCUGGAUCAGAGCACGCAGCCUCAGAACACAGCACUGGCCCUUCCAGGAGCUGUUAGAAAUGUAGAACCUCAGAGCCUACAUUGAAGAUAUUGAAUCGGAGUCUGCACAUCGCUUCUGAGAAGCCAUGAGCUAAGCUGAUGCCAUUCAGCUGGGUAGCAUCGCAGUCACUGUGCAACUUUUAAACAUACAGCUGCCCAGGCCCACUGCAGACCUGCUAAAUUCAAGCUCCUUGUAGUGGGGCCAGGGCCCUGGGACUUCAUACAAAACUCUGCAAGUCAUCACUGAUGAGAAAACCAAGACUCGAUGAGAGUCUCCUGAGCUCAGAGGAAGAAGCUGCAUAACCAGCACACUUCCAGAGAGGACCGAGGAAGAGAGCGUUGCUUCAGCCAGGGUCUGAUUAGUCAUGCCUGGCAGGCUCUGCUGAGCUGGGUGCUCAUGGGUUUUGCUUGCUGAGCUGAAUUAAUAUAUUAGUGGAUUUCAUGUUUGACUCGCUCUUUCUUUCUCACUGCGCAGGAGCUAAAGGAGUGGAGCUGGGGAUGCCAAUGUUUCUGUUUAGACAGCUGAAGGGGCCAUGCGAGCCCACAGCGAGAGCUGCAGGAGCAGCUACUACAGGGAGUGGGCAGAUUUUAGGGUGCGCAGAUUUGUACUUGGUGUGGCUCGGUUGUACAUUCAGGAAUCUCUUUCCUUGUGAUACGCAGAGCUGCACGUGGAAGAUGUUAGGAACACAGCUGGGUGCAGUUUUGCUGGUUAGUUCUGAACAAACCUACAGACGUGAGAUUUGAACUCUAUAAGGGAAGAAAGCAAGGAGGAAGAAGGCACUGAGGCUGCCUGUCACCAGAAGGGUUCUGGGCAAAACGGGGUAGAGUGACUUGGGACAGUUCCUCCUAACGAUAGCACAGGCAGUAGGGGUUGAGACACAGUGGGGUUGAGACUUGCUUAAAUGUAUAGUUAUUCAGCCAGCCAUUUUCAUAGAAUAAUUGUGGGUUGCCCUGAGCUGCCGCGUUCACAUGCUCUGCAGUGGAGUACUAUAUGCUAAUGUGAGAUGGGAGUACACCCA
rnacentral:lncRNA from 1 species